rnacentral:rRNA from 1 species
UACGUAGGGGGCAAGCGUUGUCCGGAAUCAUUGGGCGUAAAGCGCGUGUAGGCGGCUCGGUAAGUCUGCUCUGAAAGCCUGGGGCUCAACCCUGGGAGGCGGGUGGAUACUGCUGAGCUCGAGUCCGGAAGAGGCAAGUGGAAUUCCUGGUGUAGCGGUGGAAUGCGCAGAUAUCAGGAGGAACACCAAUAGCGAAGGCAGCUUGCUGGGACGGUACUGACGCUAAGGCGCGAAAGCGUGGGGAGCGAACAGG